rnacentral:snRNA from 1 species
GGAUGUGAGGGCGAUCUGGCUGCGACAUCUGUCACCCCAUUGAUCGCCAGGGUUAAUUCGGCUGAUCUGGCUGGCUAGGCAGGUGUCCCCUUCCUCCCUCACCGCUCCAUGUGCGUCCCUCCCGAAGCUGCGCGCUCGGUCAAAGAGGACAACCUUCCCCGAUAGAGGAGGACCGUUCUUCGGUCAAGGGUAUAUGAGUAGCUGCGUUCCCCUGCUAGAACCUCCAAACAAGCUCUCAAGUCCAAGAAACUGAGUGUGACCCUUUCUCCCCAACACUUUCAUGCCCUGCAAGCAAAAUCUU